rnacentral:rRNA from 1 species
UCAGAGGGGGGUAGAAUNCCACGUGUAGCAGUGAAAUGCGUAGAGAUGCGGAGGAAUACCGAUGGCGAAGGCAGCCCCCUGGGAUAAUACUGACGUUCAUGCUCGAAAGCGUGGGUAGCAAACAGGAUUAGAUACCCUGGUAGUCCACGCCCUAAACGAUGUCGAUUAGCUGUUGGGCAGCUUGACUGCUUAGUAGCGUAGCUAACGCGUGAAAUCGACCGCCUGGGGAGUACGGUCGCAAGAUUAAAACUCAAAGGAAUUGACGGGGACCCGCACAAGCGGUGGAUGAUGUGGAUUAAUUCGAUGCAACGCGAAGAACCUUACCUGGUCUUGACAUGUACGGAACCUUCCAGAGACGGAAGGCUGCCUUCGGGAGCCGUAACACAGGUGCUGCAUGGCUGUCGUCAGCUCGUGUCGUGAGAUGUUGGGUUAAGUCCCGCAACGAGCGCAACCCUUGUCAUUAGUUGCCAUCAUUCAGUUGGGCACUCUAAUGAGACUGCCUGUGACAAACCGGAGGAAGGUGGGGAUGACGUCAAGUCCUCAUGGCCCUUAUGACCAGGGCUUCACACGUCAUACAAUGGUCGGUACAAAGGGUAGCCAAGCCGCGAGGCGGAGCCAAUCUCAUAAAACCGAUCGUAGUCCGGAUUGCACUCUGCAACUCGAGUGCAUGAAGUCGGAAUCGCUAGUAAUCGCAGGUCAGCAUACUGCGGUGAAUACGUUCCCGGGUCUUGUAC